rnacentral:rRNA from 1 species
GACGAACGCUGGCGGCGUGCCUAAUACAUGCAAGUAGAACGCUGAAGGAGGAGCUUGCUCCUCUGGAUGAGUUGCGAACGGGUGAGUAACGCGUAGGUAACCUGCCUGGUAGCGGGGGAUAACUAUUGGAAACGAUAGCUAAUACCGCAUAAUAGUAGAUGUUGCAUGACAUUUGCUUAAAAGGUGCAAUUGCAUCACUACCAGAUGGACCUGCGCUGUAUUAGCUAGUUGGUGAGGUAACGGCUCACCAAGGCGACGAUACAUAGCCGACCUGAGAGGGUGAUCGGCCACACUGGGACUGAGACACGGCCCAGACUCCUACGGGAGGCAGCAGUAGGGAAUCUUCGGCAAUGGACGGAAGUCUGACCGAGCAACGCCGCGUGAGUGAAGAAGGUUUUCGGAUCGUAAAGCUCUGUUGUAAGAGAAGAACGAGUGUGAGAGUGGAAAGUUCACACUGUGACGGUAUCUUACCAGAAAGAGACGGCUAACUACGUG